UAAAUUUGGAUUAAUGCCCCAUGGUAUGUAAUUGUGGCAUCACUAUUACAUUAAAGGUUACGGUACAAGAUGACUAUGCGUCCCAUUAGUUAGUUGGUAAGGUAACGGCUUACCAAGGCAGCGAUGGGUAGGGGCCCUGAGAGGGGGAUCCCCCACACUGGUACUGAGACACGGACCAGACUCCUACGGGAGGCAGCAGUGAGGAAUAUUGGACAAUGGGCGGGAGCCUGAUCCAGCCAUGCCGCGUGCAGGAAGACGGUCCUAUGGAUUGUAAACUGCUUUUGUACGGGAAGAAUAAGGGCUACGUGUAGCCUGUUGACGGUACCGUAAGAAUAAGGAUCGGCUAACUCCGUGCCAGCAGCCGCGGUAAUACGGAGGAUCCGAGCGUUAUCCGGAAUCAUUGGGUUUAAAGGGUCCGUAGGCGGGCCAUUAAGUCAGGGGUGAAAGUCUGCGGCUCAACCGUAGAAUUGCCCUUGAUACUGGUGGUCUUGAGUUAUGGUGAAGUGGCCGGAAUAUGUAGUGUAGCGGUGAAAUGCAUAGAUAUUACAUAGAACACCGAUUGCGAAGGCAGGUCACUAACCAUAUACUGACGCUGAUGGACGAAAGCGUGGGGAGCGAACAGGAUUAGAUACCCUGGUAGUCCACGCCGUAAACGAUGGAUACUAGCUGUCCGGGCGCAAGCCUGGGCGGCCAAGCGAAAGUGAUAAGUAUCCCACCUGGGGAGUACGUCCGCAAGGAUGAA
rnacentral:rRNA from 1 species